GACGAACGCUGGCGGCGUGCUUAACACAUGCAAGUCGUACGGUAAGGCCCUUUCGGGGGUACACGAGUGGCGAACGGGUGAGUAACACGUGAGUAACCUGCCCACAACUUUGGGAUAACGCUAGGAAACUGGUGCUAAUACUGGAUAUGUGCCCCUGCUGCAUGGUGGGGGUUGGAAAGCUCCGGCGGUUGUGGAUGGACUCGCGGCCUAUCAGCUUGUUGGUGGGGUAGUGGCCUACCAAGGCGGCGACGGGUAGCCGGCCUGAGAGGGUGACCGGCCACAUUGGGACUGAGAUACGGCCCAGACUCCUACGGGAGGCAGCAGUGGGGAAUAUUGCACAAUGGGCGCAAGCCUGAUGCAGCAACGCCGCGUGCGGGAUGACGGCCUUCGGGUUGUAAACCGCUUUCAGCAGGGACGAAGCUUUUUGUGACGGUACCUGCAGAAGAAGCACCGGCGAACUACGU
rnacentral:rRNA from 1 species